UGUUCAAGUGAUAUCUAGCCUCGAAAGUGAGAGCGCAGGGGUCUCCUACUCGAAGGUGCGGGUGACGGUUCAGCUUGCAGUCUAACCAAGGCUCGUAUGUUACCAAAUGGCACGAAAACAUUUUUGGAUUGUGCUCCUGUGCUUCGUCGUGGUUACACAAGCUGGACCCAAUAGAACGCAUCCUUUCAGGCUACCGAAUAUACGUAAGUUUUAUACUUCUGGACAACCAAUAUGGACCAUUCAGACAACGGAAAGAACAGUAUACAGCUGCAAAGUCGAUGUGCCGCAAACUAUAAAUAAAUAUCACGUUUAUUUCCAGAGGCUUUAUUACUGGCAUAUCGCUAGGGUCAACAACACCAUGGAAGGAGUGUUCAAGAUACUGAAUGUGGCAGGAAAGAUGAAAGUGCCCCCUGAUGCAAUGAUGGUCCGAAUUCCAAAGAUAAUCUUCACCGACACCGAACAACAACAGUAUGAAAGUCAUGAUGGCACAUGCGGAAUGUUUUUGGUGUCUUCCAUCUCUGGCGAUAAACAUUACGAGGUCCGUGUGUGGAAUGUUUCUGUUCGCCAUCUCGAUAGAAAAUGUUUGGAAUAUUUUCAUUAUGUUGCGUCGCAGAAGCGACUGCUGUACAAAGUAGUAUACAAGGACUCCUGCCAACAAAUAUUGCGAAAAUAAACACUACAACUUCGUGUCACA